UGGUUCUGGCAUCGAUGAAGAACGCAGCGAAAUGCGAUAAGUAAUGUGAAUUGCAGAAUUCAGUGAAUCAUCGAAUCUUUGAACGCACAUUGCGCCCGCCGGUAUCCCGGCGGGCAUGCCUGUUCGAGCGUCAUUUCAACCCUCAAGCAUGUACUUGCUUGGUGUUGGGGCGCUACCAGCCCGCUGGUAGGCCCCGAAAUACAGUGGCGAGCUCGCCAGGACCCCGAGCGCAGUAGUUUUACACCUCGCUUAGGGCGGACUGGCGCGGCGCGGCCGUAAAACCCCCCAAUUUAACACAUGGUUGACCUCGGAUCAGGUAGGAAUACCCGCUGA
rnacentral:misc_RNA from 1 species